rnacentral:miRNA from 1 species
CGAGCGUGGGCAAGGUACCAG